AAAUUUUCAAGAAAAAAAAAAUCUAAUUGGACUUUCGAGUUUCAAAAACAAUUUUCUGUUUACGAAACAGGCUAAUAAGGAAACGGCGCAGGCAACGGGCAUAUUCUCAUACAACUAGCACGCCACUGGCUUUCAAUCACAUUCUGCCAUAUGGCAGCGCAUGACUCUAAAGCAUCAUAGAAUUAAAAACAAGAUAAUACAUACAAGAUAGGCAAAAGGGAAUGAAGCAAGUUAUAGAAAAAUUCAUUCAUCGGAUAUGUGAAGAAAUUGUAAUGGGAGACGAAGCUGAUAACAUAUGGUGAGAGCCAAAUAAGGUCUAUCAAAAAAAAAAAAUAUGGUGAGAGCCAAAUAAGGUCUAUCAAAAAAAAUAUGGUGAGAGCCAAAUAAACUUGCAGGAAACCGAAAGAAGACAAGCAAUCACACACCAAAAGUCAGCCUAGGCCGGUCAACUCCCAGUUCUAAGAGAGUUUUUGAUUUGAUACCUACAGCGGGUUAUUGGGUC
rnacentral:lncRNA from 1 species